rnacentral:lncRNA from 1 species
CUUAAUCUUCUUCUAAGCAUUUUUCCUGCAACACAUAAAAUAGUUAAAAUUUUAGUAAGAAAUAACAACAAUAGUAAAUAUAAAAUAGUUAAAUUAAAUAACAUGACCAAUGUUAAAAUUAUAACAUUAGAUAUAAAUAAAAAAUCAUAAAAUCUUACUACAUCAUAAAUCAUAAAUAUCUUCGUCCACAUCCUGACGAACCCAUUGAAAUUGUGUACUAGUACUUGGGAUAUUUUCAUUUAAGUUUUGUUCUGGAAAAGGCAAAGUUUCUGAUCUUUCAACGAUGCCAUCUCUACUUCCAUUCCCCAUGUCAAACAAGUCUCUAGGGGUGUUUCGGAGUACAACGUACCAACCCUCAUCAAUUGGAUCUUUCGAGUAAAAAACUUGUUUAACUUGAGAAGAAAAUACAUACGGCUCGUCUAUCAAAUGUUCUCCAGUGUGAAUUAAUCGAGAGAAAUUCACCAUUGUAAAACCAAACUGAUCAUUUUUAAUUCCGCGAGCAGUAUUAGCAUCAGCCCAAUCAUAUCGAAAUAAGACAACUUUCCAUUUUCCAUAGUAAUCCAACUCAAUAAUGUCGGUUAGAAGUCCGUAAUACUCCACAUUUCCCUCGACAGGAUUACUGUCCCUAGCACUAGAGUAACUUGUAAUUAAAGAAUUAACAACUACUCCACAAUAUUGAGUCUCCUCAAUCUCUCGCGAUAUUUGGUAUGGAAUCUGAAUCCAUUCAUGAUGAAGCCACUAUAUCUUUUUACUACUAGAUUCGGACCUUGGGAAAGCCAUUUAACUUCGUCAUUAACGACAUUCCCACUCCAAACCUAUUGAAUCAAAAGUAAUUUAAGUAAUUGUAAAUGUUAUGAGAAAACAUUAUUAUUUGUCAAUAAAAUGUUGAGUUGCAUACCGUUUGGCUUAACCAUUCAUGAAAAGAUUCUGCGAAUAACCUAUUAAUCUCGCGAUGUUGUAAUCUUCGUGAGCGUGAAUGAGAUCUUAAGAUUUGUUUGUACUCACUAUGUUAAAAACAUGUUUAAUUCGUUAAAUAAUAAACAAAUCAAAAAAAAUGAAUACUUAUCAUAUUCUAGAACUUACUUGCGUAAUUGUUCAAGUGCAUCGUGGUGGAAAAGAACAUAUCUAUGUGCUUGUAUCCAAGAUCGGUCAUCUAAUUCUGUAAUUUCAACUUUUUCGAUUGGUUCUCCAUAACUUUAAAAUAAAUAAGUUUCGGCCAAGUUAGGAUCAUUGAGUCCGGCAUUUCUACUUGGUCUAUUCAAUCUUGUUUCAACAUCUUCUAAAUAUCUAGAACAGAAUGUCAUACACUCCUCUGCCAAGUAGCCUUCAGCAAUUGAUCCUUCCGGAUAACGCUUGUGACUUCAAUUUGCUUAGGAACCUAAACACCAUAUACAACAUUAUCAAAACUGGUAACUAUAGGUAUAAAGGUGAAUACCUUUGAAAUAAAUUAGCACCUUUCAAUUGGAUACAUCCAACGAUAGAAAACUAGCCCACCAAUUAUUGCUUCACGAGGGAGAUGAAUGACAAAAUGCACCAUAAUAGUGAAGAAGGAAGGUGGAAAGAUCUUCUCCAAAUUGCAUAAUGUCAAAGCGGCUCGAUCUUGUACUUUUUCAAGUUCUUCAACAUGCAGAACUUUGCCACAAAUUGCUUUCAUUAUAUUGGACAGUUCUAUUAUACAGGAUGUUACCUUCUUUGUCAUACAGCACCGUAAAGCAACUGGAAGUAGAUCUUGCAUCAAGAUGUGAUAGUCAUGUGAUUUUAAUGAAUAUAGUCUUCGAUCUUUAAGACUUACACAUCGAGAUAUAUUUGAUGCAUACGCACCCGGAACCUUUAUAUCCUUCAACACCGUGCAGAACAUUUCUUUCUCUUCCUUUGACAUUGCAAAAAUUGUAGGCGGCAACCAAUAUUUUCCAUUAGGAAGUACUUGCGGAUGAAGAUCAUGCCUAAUUCCCAUGUGAACUAAAUCAAGUCGACUUUGAAGAUUAUCUUUUGAUUUACCAUCGACGUUCAAAAUUGUCUAGAUGAUGUUCUCGCAGACAUUCUUCUCAAUAUGCAUCACAUCAAGAUUGUGGCGUAAUAUAUGAUGCUCCCAAUAAGGCAACUAAAAAAAAUAAUUCUUUCUUCCAUAAGUCCGCCUCAUUAAAGUCAUCCUCCUCAUCAGAUUCAUCAUCAGAUUCAUCCCUCGAUCGUCUAUUUGUUUGCCUGUUAGAUGGUUGAUUCAGCUUCCCGUAACUGAAAUCCAUAUCUUUUAACAUGAAUAAGAUUUCAGAUCCAAUGGUCUGCUCAGGAGCUUUUUUCAACUCCUUAGUACCAUCAAAUAAAGCCCUCUGAAAUCUAUAGCUAUGAUUUUCAUCUAACCACCGACGAUGCCCCAUAUAGCAGAACUUCUUCCCAUUAUAUAACCACUGUGAACACGUUUGAGUACCACAACGAGGACAAGCAUAACGUCCUCUGGUACUCCAACCAGAUAAAUUCGCAUAUGCCGAGAAAUCAUUAAUUGUCCACAGCAAAGCAGCACGUAGGUAAAAGUUCUCCUUUCUCAAUACAUCAUACGUCUCAACACCCGCCCAUAAUUGUUUUAACUCUUCAAUAAGUGGCUGCAGAUAUAUGUCAAUAUCAUUUCCGAGGCAUUUCUCUCCGGGGAUAAUCAUAGAUAAUAUCAAAGAAGAUUGCUUCAUGCAGAUCCAUAGAGGUAAAUUAUAAGGAACAAGGACCACAAGCCAAGUACUGUACGAGGUGCUCAUGAUUUUGAAAGGAUUAAAUCCGUCAGAUGCUAACCCUAGCCUUACACUCCGAGGAUCACUUGUAAAGCUUGGAAAUUUAUUGUCAAAUGAUUUCCAUGCUAAAGAAUAUGCAGGAUGCCUUAAUAAUCCAUCAUCCGUUCGUUGAUCAUGAUGUCACGUUAUAAACUCGGUUGUCUUUAACGAUAUGAAUAGCCUUUGAAGCCUUGGGAUUAGCGGGAAAUACCGUAAAAUCUUGUUCGGCUUCCUUAUUGACUGUGGCCCAUAUUCAUCCUCAUUAACAUCUUCUGCAUCUCUAUUCAUCCAAUGAGAUUUACCGCAAACAUGACAAGACUGUUGAUUUCUCCGAUCACCCCAAUACAACAUGCAAUCAUUUGGGCAACUAUGAAUUUUGUUGUACCAAAGGCCCAAAUCUUUUAUCACUUUCUUCUUGUCUUUACAUGAUUGAGGGAUUUUUGCAAACGGGAACAUUUCUCUCAAAAGCUCUAACAGCAUUGUCAAAGAGUUUCUGGUCCACCCUCCCAAACAUUUUAAGUGGAAAAGGCGAAUACAGAAUGACAUUUUCGAAAAUUUUGAUCCCUCAUAAAGUUCUUCAUUCAUUUCGCCAAGUAACGUGUAGAACUUAUCCGCUUCUUCAUUCUGUUGUUCAUCCGGUACACUUCUUAUCGUUUCCAUAAAAGUAUUCCAACCGAUAUUAUAAUCAUCGGAUGCAACAUAGUUUGGUGGAAAUGAUUGAAAACCUUCACUCCGCAUAUUAAAUGCAUCCCGCAUCAUACCUUCCAUGUCAUCUUCUUUAACAUACUGACGGUAUCAUACCUUCCAUGUCAUCUUCUCUAAUAUACUGACGGUAACCACUAUAAGGAUAACCCGGAUUAAUCGUCGAAGAGGCUCCACUAGGUGUACACUCUCCAUGGAAAAUCCAUUUUUUAUACCCCCGAAUGAAGCCAUCAACAAUUAGAUGUUCGUAGAUAACUUCACGAUAAUGCCAAUAGAUAUUGCCACACUUCUUACACGGGCAAAGAAUCAUAUUCUCUUGGCUUGAAUUGUGAAAUGCAAAAUCUAAAAAAGAUUGCACUCCAUUUUGAUACUCGUUGCUUGCCCUUGAGAAAUUCAUCCAAGUCCUAUCCAUUUCGUAGUUGUUGAAGCCUAAAGUUGGCAAUAAGUUACACGGGUAAGUUGUUUAUUAUGUAAGUCUUGAUAUGAUAUAUAUUUAUGUUUUAUGUAAGUUAUGUAGAUUAUGUAAGUUAUGAAAUUUGAACUUUAAACUGUAUGCUUUUAAGGAAAUUAUUAGAUUAAACUACAUGUAUUAGUUAAGUUAUGUAAGUUGUUAUGUACGCUAUGUGAGUUAUGUAAAUUAUGUAAGUUAUGUGAGUUAUGUAAGUUGUUAUGUAAAUUAUGUAAGUUAUAUGAGUUAUGUAAGUUAUGUAAUUUAUUUAAGUAAUGAUCAAUAUUAAUACUAUUUUGAUAAAAAUUAGUUAUAACUUUUAAAGACAUUUAAAAUUAUUAAAUAUUAAAAUCAAACAUUAUUUAUAUAAAACAAUUGUAAUUUGAAUAUAAUAAUAUCAAAAAGAAUCGUAGUUUAAUUUUUAUAUUAUAAUAUAUUUAAACAAUGAUCAAUAUUAUUAUAUUGAUAAAAUUAUUUAUAAGUGGCCCUUCAGUCGUUGAAAUUUUUAAAUCUUUUUUAAGGUCGAUAGAAUUAUUUAUAAGCUCCAUAGAACUUUUUUUGAAAUCUUUUUUUUUUGUACAAAUACAUUUAAAAUUAUUAAAUAUUCAAAUCAAACAUUAUUAAUAUAAAAAAUAGUAAUUUGAAUAUAAUAAUAUCAAAAAAGAAUCGUAGUUUAAUUUUUAUAAGUAAAUUGGAAAUAAAUUAAGGUUAUAUAAAUAUUCAAUAGUAAAUGAGCUCGAUAGAACUUUUUUCAAGUCUUUUUGAAUUUUUUAAGAUUCAUCAUACGUGGCGUUGUUACACCUAGGGAGGAUCCAUUAUAUCUUACAGCUCGAUAUAAGGCAACCCGUCAGGUUUCCAGCCUAUAUACUUUGAAUCUUUAAAAUAUUUAAAAUAAGGUUGGAGAAAAUGUCAGCUAUUGUUGUAAUUUUAAUGGACAAGCAAGCUACAUGGUAAUAAAAUUAAUUCAUACUUAUUCAUACUUAUUCAUACUCCACUCUCACCAGCAAACAGAGGCUGGAGUCAAAAAAGUAAUAUUUGUUAAGUAAUUUAAAGUGAAAAUGCAUAGAAAUAAAGGAAAAAAAUUUAGCAACGAAACCUGUACCUAGAACAGAUGUCAAUGGCUGUGGUGUAUUUAGUUGCACCAAAUAUUAAUUCAGGUGCUCGAUAGUACCUAGAACAGAUGUAAGAUUAUAAGAGUAGCACCAAAUAUAUUUCAGUUUAAGCAAAUAUAAAAACUUUAUCUAUAUCAGUACCAAAUAUUAAUUCGAAGAUUAAAUGGCAGCUUAAGUUGAACCAAUAGUUGCAGGAGGAGCAGGAAGCAGUAACUGAAAUACAUACAACAUUAAUUCACUAAUACAGACACAUGUAAGAUUAUAAGAGUAGCACCAAAUAUAUUUCAGUUUAAGCAAAUAUAAAAACUUUAUCUAUAUUAGUACCAAAUAUUAAUUCGAAGAUUAAAUGGCAGCUUUAGUUGAACCAAUAGUUGUAGGAGGAGCAGGAAGCAGUAACUAAAAUACAUACAACAUUAAUUCACUAAUAUAGACACAUGUAAGAUUAUAAGAGUAGCACCAAAUAUAUUUCAGUUUAAGCAAAUAUAAAAACUUUAUCUAUAUCAGUACCAAAUAUUAAUUUGAAGAUUAAAUGGUAGCUUCAGUUGAACCAAUAGUUGCAGGAGGAGCAGGAAGCAGUAACUGAAAUACAUAACAACAUUAUUUCACUAAUACAGACACAUGUAAGAUUAUAAGAGUAGCACCAAAUAUAUUUCAGUUUAAGCAAAUAUAAAAAAUUUAUCUAUAUUAGUACCAAAUAUUAAUUCGAAGAUUAAAUGGCAGCUUCAGUUGAACCAAUAGUUGCAGGAGGAGCAGGAAGCAGUAACUGAAAUACAUACAACAUUAAUUCACUAAUACAGACACAUGUAAGAUUAUAAGAGUAGCACCAAAUAUAUUUCAGUUUAAGCAAAUAUAAAAACUUUAUCAAUAUCAGUACCAAAUAUUAAUUCGAAGAUUAAAUGGCAACUUCAGUUGAACCAAUAGUUGCAGGAGGAGCAGGAAGCAGUAACUGAAAUACAUACAACAUUAAUUCACUAAUACAGACACAUGUAAGAUUAUAAGAGUAGCACCAAAUAUUUUUUCAGUUUAAGCAAAUAUAAAAACUUUAUCUAUAUCAGUACCAAAUAUUAAUUCGAACAUUAAAUGGCAGCUUCAGUUGAACCAAUAGUUGCAGGAGGAGCAGGAAGUAGUAACUGAUGCUGAAUCUGGUCCAAACAGAAAGUGUUUUUUUUUAGUGAAGCAGCAAUCAAAAGAAAAAUAUGAUAUGCCUUUGUAUAUAUGCCAUAGAUAUUUUGGGUUAAACUCAUCUGAAUUCCUAAAAGCAUUAAAACCAGAUAAUGGAUUCUAAUUUUCCCAAAUAAGCUAAUUUGAUUAUAGAGAGAAAUGAAUCAAGCUAAAAAAUGAAUGUUAUCUGCCAUAAUACGGCUACUUGCUAUAUUAUGCCAUGAUACAAGCAAAUAACAUAAUUAUAACAUGAAAACAGAAAUAUUGCAUAUUGUAUAUAAUACAAAUUAUUUAUGUAUCAAAUUUUAUAAGAAUAUAAAAUAAUUUAAACAUGACCACAUCAUGAGAAAAACGAAUGAACACAGAUGGGUACAAAAGUUGCCAGGUCUACUUCCAUCAAAAUCAGAUAGUAAAAUUCAUAAGUAGUUAAAAACUGUAAGAAUCAAUAAUAACUAACUUUAGCUUGUGAAGCAACAAAAUGACAUAAGCUGACACAGAUGGGAAAACAUUAGCAAGCUUGCAAGCAGUCAACAAAGCAUCUUGAACUCUAGCAAUCUGGUAAGUGUUUGAAGUUAAAUACAUUAGCUUAAGCCAUCAAUAUUUUUGAGGUAUUGAGAAGGAAAUAAAAGGAAAGCUUUCGAUGGUGCAAACACUAACAAUGAAAAUGAAGGAGGCCAUAUAACAAUGAUUUUAGGAAGACUUAAAAAAAAACUUUCUUUUAUAACUUUUCAAAGUAAAUUUUUUUUUAAUUUCAAUCUUGUGGGAAAGCAAAAACUAUAUAUGUAGUAAUCCAUAAUAUAUGCAUAUACUUGAGAGAGUGCUUUUAGUUGGAGUGGGAAACCAAUAAUAACAAGUAAUGAGAUUUCUAUCAAUCAAAUCAUCCCCUUUGAAGGCAUUGUAAUAACAAAAUCUGCAGUAUAUCAUCACUAGGAAUGAUAAAAAAAUGAAAAAUCAAAACUCAAAAGACAUACCCUUAAUCAUAAGCUUGUGGAAGUUUAAAGUAGCUUAUUCCAAACAUAGCAGCAACCAGCUGUUAUUGACUUAAAAGGAUAUGCCAAAAAGCUGCAAUUAGAUACUAAUAUUUUACCCUUGAGUGCAUAUAAAUCUUUUUUUUUUUACAAUUUAUUGCAUAAAGCUUGUGGAAGUUUAAAGUAGCUUAUUCCAAACAUAGCAGCAACUAGUUGUUAUCGACUUAAAAGGAUAUGCCAAAAAGCUGCAAUUAGAUACUAAUAUUUUACCCUUGAGUGCAUAUAAAUCUCUUUUUUACAAUUUAUUGCAUAACAUUUCCGAGUCCUAGACUCGUUAAUCCACAAUUGGCCCCUAAGGCUUGUUUUCAAUUCCUUUAACAUAACAUUUCAAACAUAUCGAUAUCAAAACAUUCUAUUAUCAAUCAAAUUUCCAAGUUACCAUUUAUAAUGUCAAUUAAUUCAUUCAUUCUAGGGUCCUUCGACUUGUUUGAAUCCACUUCAGCCCCUAAGGCUCAGUUUCAUUUGAUUUACAUACUUUGUCAUAUGGUUACUACAUUUAGUUUACAUUUAAUCACCGAACAUAUUAAUAAAAUCCUAAUAACCUAACUUGGAUUUUCAAAACAGAUACUCGAAUUAGUCAAUCUGCAUCUCAAACUGACACUGUAAUGUAUCAUCCGCAAAAUAUCUUAAUAAAACCAGACAUCAAAAGAAGCAAGUGUUCCUUCCCGUCCCUUGCUUUACCCCCAUUUUUACUCUGAGAAUAUCUUAAUAGUUUUGGUUCUCAUUUAUGUCAAACAUCUCAAUGAAAAAUAGUUAGAUUGUUAUAAACCAACAAAUGAUAGCAUAUGAAAAACCCAUACAUACCAGUAUGAAGAUAAAUCUCUCGAUUCAUCUACUUCAUGCUUUCAACAGCCAGACAUGAAAGUGAACAAUUGACCGCUUUCAACAUGCAAGCGCCAUUAAUAGAAAUACAGUUUAAAUUGUAUAGCCAUUGCAACCUUGCUAGCUUUGAACAAACUAAUUCAGUGGUGUACACACCUUUGAAAAGAAUUGGAAACUUCAAUUUAACUGGAAUAUAUAAAUAUUUACCCCAGAAAAGAGGAUAAGAAACUUUAAUCGAGUUUGCAAAAAAGGAGAUUUAUAUGCAUACCCUUGCUUGCUAACAUUGAAAAUAUAUGAAAAUGAUUGAAAUUCCUCCAAAACCCAUAGGUUAAACAAAGAAGAAAUAAAUUGUUCUCAAAUAAAAGAACAACUUACCUGAUAUUUUACACUCUGAUGAAGCAAAUGAGUAACCUCCAAAACAGAAAAGCGAUUCAAGUCAAAUGUAUGUUAGCUCGACAAUAAAUCUUAACCGUGUCUGCUGAUUCUUUUGAGGGAAAUUUAGGGAUUAGAAGAAAUUAGAGAAUUGGGGAAAUCUGUUUUGGGUUGGGGGGAAUAGGUGUCGGGCAUGAGAAAGAAGCAAACAUUUCAAGGAAAAUGACACCGUUCAAGGUAAACAAUU